UCCCGCCGAUCUCUAUUCGGACAAUGGAACUAAUUUCAAUGGAGCGUCUAAACUUUUAAUUAAAGAUCGGCGAGAAUUCAUGAAAUCAUUGAAAACUCAACUCAACAACUAGUGAAGCACACCAAAACAUCAACUGGCACUUUAAUCCUCCAGGAGCUCCACACAUUGGUGGACUCUGGGAAGCAGGAGUGAAAAGUUUAAAGAGCCACUUCAGAAAGGUGUCUCAGAACCAGAAAUUCACUUUCGAUGAACUAGCAACCCUUUUAACCCGAAUCGAAAGUUGCUUAAAUUCUCGCCCUUUAAGCCCAUUAAGUGAAGACCCAACAAAUUUAGAACCUUUAACCCCAGGUCAUUUCUUAAUAGGUACCCCUUUAUUAAUCCCAGCAGAAACCAACUUAGAAGAUGCACAUCUAAGCAUCGCACAAAGAUGGCAGAAACUGAAGAUACUCCAUCAACACUUCUGCAAACGAUGGAAAGAAGAAUAUUUGAAAGAACUCCACAAAAGAUAUAAGUGGAAAUACCCUCAACGCAACAUAGACGUUAACGAUAUGGUAGUUAUACGCCAAGAAACUCUACCCCAAAUGAGUGGAGACUUGGUCGCAUCGAAAAAACGUAUCUCGGUGCAGACAACAAAACAAGAAUAGUUGACAUACGUACCUCUCAGGGAAUAAUUACCCGCCCAAUAACCAAAAUAGUCACUUUACCAAAUAAUUAAUCUUAUUUCCUUAUAGUGACAUGGCCCCUCAAAGCAGUACGAAGUCCAUUUGCAGGCGCCAAAGCAGCCCCACAUUCACUGUGCGAUCCCUCAGCUCGACUCGUAGCAUCAGCCCACUCUCCGACGAAGGAACCUUGGCAAGACGCCUGCAUCGCUUUAAAGCGACCCUUUCCCCAUUCGAGAGGAGCGUGGAAAUACGAAUCGCAUGGCCCGACGUACCAUCAGCCAUUCCUCUAUUAGAGAAGAACGAGGAAGUACCCAUCGCACAGCCCGGCGUACUAUCAGCCGUUCAUCAAAGCGAACGCACAAACACGUCGCCUGUGGAUUGUGUAAAAAAGACCAUCGACUGGUAACGUGUUCAAAAUUCACCAUAAUGAACAUUAGCGAAAAGUUUGACGCAGUCAUUAAACUUAAGUAUUGCGUCAAUUGCUUGGCCAGAUCGCAUUCCACCCAAAAGUGCACAAGUAAAAAACGAUGUGCCACGUGUAACGGGGAACACCAUUCAACCCUACAUGGACACCCCAGGUUGUUUUGCGAAGAGCAAAAGAAAACAGCAAAAGGCAAAAAGCGAUUACACGGACAAGAGGAUCUACCCACGUUACUGGCCAAGCCGACCCUCGUCCCAACCGUCAUGGUCAAAGUGAAACACGAUGGCAAAUGGCACAAAAUACGAGCCAUAAUAAACCCGACCCGAAAAGUGACCAUGAUUGCGUCAGAACUGGUCCAGAGUCUGAGGUUACCGAAAACGUACCUCGACUCGUAUCGUAUAUGUAAAGUCGUAAUCGGAUCAUUAACUGAUUCCGACUGGCACGUCGAAGCUAACUGCCUUUUGACGCAUGAUUUACCGACCCGACCCUAUAAUCGUGACUUAAGUGGCGAAAUUAUUAAGAAGUUCGACCACUUAGUCCUAGCCGACCCUACAUUCUGGAAAGACGACAAAAUUAUGUUGGAACUGGGAGCUGACAUCUACCCAAGAUUGAUGAAACCCGGCUUAUUCAACCCCGAUAACAGCACCGUGAUCGCACAAAACACCGCACUCGGUUGGACUUUAACCGGUGCUUGUGCGAUUUAAAACCCAAGUAUACCUCCAACCCGUUCAUAACAUUAGUCAUUUACCCAAUUCAAAAUAGAUCUAAAAAUCUUUUUAUUCGCAGACACUGCAAGGCGGCCGGGAUGUUCAUACCAAAUGAACACAUCCCUGCAUUGUCCUCCUAACUCGUCUAAAUACGAAUUAGAGGACAAUGCAAAAAACACCCAACAGCGCCAACAUAACAGCGAAGCACCCAACGAAACAAAAAGACACAAUAAAACGAAUCACCAUAGCGGACGGACACAUAGGCGCCAAAAGCAGCAGCAAUAUCAGCAGCAAUAACAACCACAGCAGCAUCAGCAGUAUCAGCAGCAACAAUUAGCAGCAAUCACAACAACAGAAUCAUCUUCUCAACGCGGGAAAAGCUCAACCACAUCAGUGCGAAAACGAAAAUUUGACGAGAAAUCUAUCAAAACUAUACUUGUCGGGUAUGAGCCAAAUGGCUAUAAAUUGUGGAAUGAGGAAUCGAGAAAAUUUAUGACAGCUAGAGAUGUAGUGGUGGAUGAAAGGAGCAUAAAAUCUAUGACUUUAAUGAAAAUGAUUCUGCGGUAAAACAUGAUGAUUUUAACCAAAGUAAUGAUUCUCCAAUUGAAGAGAAUGAAGAGUCGGAUUUUCCAUUGCAGGAAAUUAGUGAAUCAAUGGAUUCGAAGUCUGGUGAAAACUAAAAUAAAAAUUCCACUUGUCUCGAGAAUACCGAUCCUGUUGUUGAAACUGGUGAUAAUAUAAUAGAAAUUGAAAAUCAAGAACAAGUUAGAGUGAGUAGUGAGAGGAUUAAAGAUGAACCAAAAUUAUCAUAUAGAUUUUUAGAAAAAUGUCUUAUGAAUACCAAAUAUGUUUAAAUGAUAUCCCUAAUACAUAGGUAGUAAAAGGUUUAACCCAGUACGAUGGAAAUAAAGUAUGUAAACUAAAUAAAGCUAUUUAUGGCCUUAAGCAAGCUACAA